AAUCAGCUGCAGUUGCUGCUGCUGCUGUAGUUGCUGCUGCUGCUGUAGUUGCUGCUGCUGCUGCAGUUGCUGCUGCUGCUGCAGUUGCUGCUGCUGCUGCAGUUGCUGCUUCUGCUGCAGUUGGUGCUGCAGCAGCAACAGUUGCUGCUGCAGUUGUUGCUGCAGCUCCAGUUGCUGCUGCAGCAGUUGCUGCAGCAGCAGCAGCAGCAGCAGCAGCAGCAGCAGCAGCAGCAGCAGCAGCAGUUGUUGUUU
rnacentral:sRNA from 1 species